rnacentral:rRNA from 1 species
CAAUAGCGUAUAUUAAAGUUGUUGCGGUUAAAAAGCUCGUAGUUGGAUUUCUGCUGAGGACGAUCGGUCCGCCCACUGGGUGAGUAUCUGGCUCGGCCUUGGCAUCUUCUUGGAGAACGUUGCUGCACUUGACUGUGUGGUGCGGUAUCCAGGACUUUUACUUUGAGGAAAUUAGAGUGUUUCAAGCAGGCGCACGCCUUGAAUACAUUAGCAUGGAAUAAUAAGAUAGGACCUUGGUUCUAUUUUGUUGGUUUCUAGAGCUGAGGUAAUGAUUAAUAGGGAUAGUUGGGGGCAUUCGUAUUUAACUGUCAGAGGUGAAAUUCUUGGAUUUGUUAAAGACGGACUACUGCGAAGGCAUUUGCCAAGGAUGUUUUCAUUGA